UACGUAGGGCGCAAGCGUUGUCCGGAAUUAUUGGGCGUAAAGAGCUCGUAGGCGGUUUGUCGCGUCUGCUGUGAAAACCUAAGGCUCAACCUUGGGCUUGCAGUGGGUACGGGCAGACUAGAGUGCGGUAGGGGUGACUGGAAUUCCUGGUGUAGCGGUGGAAUGCGCAGAUAUCAGGAGGAACACCCAUAGCGAAGGCAGCUUGCUGGGACGUUACUGACGCUAAGGCGCGAAAGCGUGGGGAGCGAACAGG
rnacentral:rRNA from 1 species